rnacentral:lncRNA from 1 species
GAUCCACAAGGAUCAUCGGACUUAAUGUGGAUCAUUUUGACUACUAUGGAUUAGUGAUCUAGGUGGAUCACUAGACUUGAUGAAGCUAUUGGCUCAAAAAUUGGAGUAGUCCAGCUCUAUUGAAUUGUUGAUGCAUCAAUAUUAUGAAAUGCAUUGUCCCGAAUCUCAUUGGUGUUGUAGGAUCUGCAAUGGCUAUUAUCAUUUACCAA